UUAGAGAGAGAAACGAAUCAUUCAUUAUAACGGUGUGGAAGCCUCUCCCUAUUAGAGGUGUUUUAAAGCCUUGAAAGGAACGUCAAAACAGAGAGUCCAAAGAAGAAAAUAGUAGCGGUGGGCUUAGGCGGUUGUAACGAGGGUGGGUGGGAAUGAGGAAGCAGACAUUAUAAUCAUAAUCAUUGCGAGAGUGGAACAACAUUGUUCAAAUUUAGAAUCCAGAAGAAGGAUCAAGAAAUGGGUUCUAAACAUUCAAUGGGUCACCCACAAAGUUUGUCCUUUUCCAACUAUCUGAACUUCUACACUAAGAGAGGUGUAAUAGUUGCCAAAACUGUAUACAUCAUUUAAAUCUUAAAGCGUGGAGAUUGAAAAUGAUUGCAAUCAAAUAAACAAAAGCUAUAAUGUAUGAUGACGAUGAUGAUUUCGAUCGUUGACUAUACUUUGCUUGAGAGUUAAGAACGAAU